rnacentral:rRNA from 1 species
AGAGUUUGAUCCUGGCUCAGGACGAACGCUGGCGGCGUGCCUAAUACAUGCAAGUCGAACGAAACUUUCUUACACCGAAUGCUUGCAUUCACCGUAAGAAGUUGAGUGGCGGACGGGUGAGUAACACGUGGGUAGCCUGCCUAAAAGAAGGGGAUAACACUUGGAAACAGGUGCUAAUAUCGUAUAUCUCUAAGGAUCGCAUGAUCCUUAGAUGAAAGAUGGUUCUGCUGUCGCUUUUAGAUGGACCCGCGGCGUAUUAACUAGUUGGUGGGGUAACGGCCUACCAAGGUGAUGAUACGUAGCCGAACUGAGAGGUUGAUCGGCCACAUUGGGACUGAGACACGGCCCAAACUCCUACGGGAGGCAGCAGUAGGGAAUCUUCCACAAUGGACGCAAGUCUGAUGGAGCAACGCCGCGUGAGUGAAGAAGGUCUUCGGAUCGUAAAACUCUGUUGUUAGAGAAGAACACGAGUGAGAGUAACUGUUCAUUCGAUGACGGUAUCUAACCAGCAAGUCACGGCUAACUACGUGCCAGCAGCCGCGGUAAUACGUAGGUGGCAAGCGUUGUCCGGAUUUAUUGGGCGUAAAGGGAACGCAGGCGGUCUUUUAAGUCUGAUGUGAAAGCCUUCGGCUUAACCGGAGUAGUGCAUUGGAAACUGGAAGACUUGAGUGCAGAAGAGGAGAGUGGAACUCCAUGUGUAGCGGUGAAAUGCGUAGAUAUAUGGAAGAACACCAGUGGCGAAAGCGGCUCUCUGGUCUGUAACUGACGCUGAGGUUCGAAAGCGUGGGUAGCAAACAGGAUUAGAUACCCUGUAGUCCACGCCGUAACGAUGAUGCUAGUGUCGGAGGUUUCCGCCCUUCAGUGCCGCAGCUAACGCAAUAAGCAUUCCGCCUGGGGAGUACGACCGCAAGGUUGAAACUCAAAGGAAUUGACGGGGCCCGCACAAGCGGUGGAGCAUGUUGUUAAUUCUAAGCACGCGAGAAACCUAACUAGGUCCUUGACAUCCCUUUGUAUCCACCCUACAGAAAUAAAGCUUUCCCUUCCUGGACCACUGUAG